UGAUUAGGGUUCAACUUCUCUGACAAAGAAAUCUCAAAUCAAUAAUCUAUCUAUCCGAGAUUAAGGUCGAUUGAUUUGAUGAUUUCAGAGUUCUCAAAUCCCAAAUGAAUUUCUAAUCUCAAAUCCCAAAAAAUUUCAUUCUUCAGAACUGACCUAGCAGCGUCGUUCACCACAACUUAACUCUCUUUUUCUUCGCUUUAGCGCUUCCGACGACCACCAGCAACUUGGAAAAUCAUAUCCAUUUCACUUUCUCUUUCCAUCUCGAAAAAACCAUCUCUUUUUUCUAGCUUCAUGCAAUACUGAGAAUCCAUUUCUAGUUCGUUCCGAUCUUGUAAUGAGAUCUGAUCUCUAGAGCUUGUGCUUGUAGCGUUUGUGUGUUUGUUUGGAGUUAGUGUUGUCACUUCAUUUUGGUUUUUCUAGAAAAGCUGAAUGGUAGAUUAGAUUGCUGCCGCAGUUUGUUUGUGGAGCUUGUUAUUGACCGGUGCUCGGAGUUGUGGUGGUGCUGAUUAUUGGCUGGUAAUAUGGUGGUGUUUGUUGAUGGCGGCUGGCUGGUGAUGGCUUUGGUGGUCGGGUGAUGUAGUUGGUGGGAGUUUAUGGUGGAUUGGUAAUGGAGAUUUCAGUAAGUCCCAUUAAAGAAAAAACAAAGAUAGCUAAAUUGGACGGUAUUAACUCAUAUGUCACUACAAUGUAUCUCUUUUCGUUCGUUGAACUUUAAGUUUGCUGAAACUUCCUUUAUGUUGUGUAUCUUUUUGAGCUUACAUGCUUCUUUUAAGCAUCCCUGGCCGUUUAGAUAUUGGGGAUACCUUUCUAACUUGCACUUAUCUAACCACUUCAUAUACAUUGUCUAUGCCAAUUUUAUAUCAGGUUCGUCAUUUACGUGAUAGCAAUAGUUUUGUAACCCGAAAUGUGGAAGUUACUUUUGUAAUUUGAGUGCUUCAUUUCAAAUCAUAUAGUUUCCUAUUUAAUAGAAAGUUUUCAGAACUCAGUAUUCAGUAAUCAUAGCACAAAAUCUGUUUCACAGAAGGAAGAGAAUUGGUUUGAACACCAGUAGGAUAUAAAAAUAUCAUCUGUUCUUGCUUCAGAAACGGUAUUGAACUUCCACUAUCUUCUUUAAAAUUCCAUUUUUUCCUGCUCUUAAUAAACUCAUCUUAGGUGAUUGACAUCCAACAUUUUGUUGUUUGGAACCUUAUGAAUCUCUCAUUUACCCUGUUUUUGUGUCCCAGGUUAUAACAGUUGCUCAGAAAAGUGGUGGAUGGUUUGCUUUCAAUUCGGAUGUUGUGGAAGUUGUUCACAAGGUAAUGUUGUUGAAGGGCCAUGGUUUUGAUAAAUUGUUGUGCUCUCGUGGUUUAAUUCAUUUAGUUCAUACUGUUUAAUUCUUUUGGUUUAUACCUAGUUGUAUAUAGUUUUUGACGGUGGUUCUUCUCAGUUGAAGUUACGGUUACAACAACUUAUUUGGUUUAUCAUCUUUGGUGGUCUUUUAGCACCCACCUCCUUCAUAACGCGUUCUGAAACGAUCUCUUUACAAUGACAUUAGGAGGUUUUUAAAAGGAGCUUCCAGCAUUAAUAAGAAUUUAUAUGUGUACCCUGCAAAAGAUAUCUUGCCAUACUGUCAAGCACUAGAGAAGUUCGCUCCUUAUAAUUCAUUUCCACUUUUCUCAUGUCAGGUUUUAAACUUGGGUCUGCGAAACAUAUAGCAGAAGCAAUAGUGAAUAAUUACAGUGUCGUAAGUUUGACUCUUGAAGUUGAAGGACUAAUUGUGGUGAAACAACCCAGGUUCACUACUCCAGUCGCAGCUUAGUAAAUUCGUAUGUUUUGUAUUUCUCCACUGAAUGCACACCUAUCCAUGUCACUACAUUUUAAAUUUGUAAUGGAUGUUUGAUUAUCUUCAUCAUAAGAUAUGGCACCCAGCUACUCAUAUACUCGAAUCAUGUUAGUUCCAUUGUAAGAUAACCAAAAGUCUAUGUUGCUUUUCAUUUUUCUUCUCUAAUUUUUUAUAUCUGGAUUUGCUUCUUACACUGAUUAACAUCUUUAAGUAGUUAUGUCUCGUAAUUUCAUGAAUUUUAACAGUGUAAACUAGAUUUUCUUUUCCUGACUUAUUGCGAAUUUUUUACACUUUCUAAUACUUGUGAAACUAGGUAGGUUUUAGUGAAGGAUGGCCAUCCUGUCCAUUCCAAAAACAUGUGCUCAUAAACUAUUUUGUUUUACUUGCUGUGGUAGAUGAUUUUCUGAGGUCGAUGCUGAUUCUGCAGAAGAAGAGUGGGAUACGACUCUUCUUGUUAACAGUAAUGAAGCUGAAGAAGAGUGGGAUACGACUAAUGAAGGAACCUUAUCAGCCUAAAAGAGAUUGGUUUGGCUAAAUAGGUCCCAGAUAUGAGCAGUAAGUGCCACUACUUACAAGGCUGGUUAUGAAAUAAGAAGCUAUACUUGUUUGAGCAUGUAGGUAAUGAAUGUUGAGCUUGUCUCCAGUCUUGUGCCUUUAAGAUUGUAUCUACUACUGCUAUUACACUUCCCAUUACAACUGCAACUGCAGAAUUUCUAUGAUCUGUAGGAAACGAUUAUAUACUUGUCAUUUUUUUGAUCCUACACACAUUAUUUGUAUAUCUUUAGAACUUAAGAAAUAUUUCUAGCUACAACUUGGAACUUAAGAAAUUUAUGUGUAUUGUCUAAGUUGUUCUUUUCAGAGGUGUCAAAA